ACCUGGGUGGCUCAGUCGGUUGAGCGUCUGACUUCGGCUCAGGUCACGACCUCGCGGUUCGUGAGUUCGAGCCCCGCAUCGGGCU
rfam:Felis catus isolate Cinnamon breed Abyssinian chromosome F1, whole genome shotgun sequence.